rfam:Salmonella enterica subsp. enterica serovar Typhi str. 404ty, contig contig00246, whole genome shotgun sequence
AUACAUUCGCUCAGGACAGGUUCCGCUAGAUUUUAGAAAAUAAUUCAUAUUAGCUCCGUACAGGAGUCUUUUUUUAUGCCC